GAUGAAUGCACAACAAGGCAUCUCUAACCUUCAAACCUUUGAGGGAGAAUACUCUUUAAUAUGAUUAAGAAUCUUUGGCCAGAGUAUGAAUGAGAUUUAGGAAGUCAUUCAAAAUGACAUUCAAGGUAAUCAUAUAAGUAAGAGAAUCACAUUGGAUAGUAGAUAUGAAUAAACUAUCAAACCAAAUAAUGUGAUCAAGAGUAUUGUAUUAGCGAAAUACUGUAGUGCAUUGUAAUCCCAAAUUCAAUAGGUUCUCCAACCUUUUCUGAUUAGCUUGGGUAUCUAUGACAUAUUGCUAUGUGUCACUCAUGGCUUGUGGAAGCCCUAAAGGUGUUGUAAACAUGAAAAUUUUGUAAAGAAUGAAACAAGAACACGUGUACAAAGUAGAUUUGUAUUAAUGCAUUUAUAAGGUUACAAUCUCUAUUUACAAUUUUCCUCUGAUUCAGUCUUCAAAUUUGAUGUAGAUGUGUAGGUUAUUGAUCUAAGAGUCGCGAUGACUGGAUCUCGGAUAAACGGUUGAACGAUUGCUUCAAGUUUUGAGCUUGAAACAAUGUGUGGAUGGUCUUCACCUCAAGUUUUAGGCUGCGACAAAGGUGAUGUUGUUGUAGGAUUUCGUUGAUUCAAGGGUCUUGGCGACUUGAUAUUGAAACGAAUAUCGUUACAAGUUUUGAGCUUGCAACAAAGUGUUGAAGGAAUCAGCAUGAGUGCUUGUUGAUUCUUCAAGGGAAUGCUUCAACUUUGGUCAAAAGAAAGCUUCAGGUUUAGUUGUGCAUUCUUUGAAGAGAGCUUUGGCCGUGUAUUAGUCUUCAAAGAUUUUGUGCAGAGGUUCCUCUGGAUGUAGAAUUGUUGACCCCUAUUUGUGUCUAGGGACCUUGUAUUUAUAGACUUCCAAAGCUAUGCCUUUGGAUGGAUUUGGCUUUGAUUUGUGUCUUGAUUCAUCCAUGGGAGAAUUUAGGCGUGUUUUGUGUCUUAAUUUCAACCACUGUCCCUUGCUUGGGCGAAAUCUAUAAGGCUUGUUGCCUAUUUUGCGAGCAAUCUUCAAUUCUUGCUUGUUUCAUGAAGAUGUUUUAACUUUCUUUCCAAUUUUAGGAGCAAUGUGGGCCCUUUGGUGAUUUUAAUGAGAUUUCUUCCCCUUUGCUACAUUUUAGGAAUGUUUUUUAGCUUCCUUUGCUUGAUUUAUGCCAUAUGUCAUUGAUAACUUGUCUAUUUGUGAUGAGUCAUAUGCCAUGUGGAGUUUUGUGAUGCAUCAUUUGUAUGAAACAAAAUUUCCAUGUCUACAAAUGCCCCCACUUCAAGGAGUGUUGUAGGUAUGUGCUUGUCACAUGUAGGAAAUGUGUUUUGAAGUCUUGCAAUGUGAAUGUGCUAAU
rnacentral:lncRNA from 1 species